UGAGAUAAUUGCAGAAAUUUGUGUAGUCUAAUUCAAUUGUGUUAGGCAUCUAACAUUGUUUCCAUAGUCAAGCUAACUAAUACACCAAUAUCCAGUUAUCUAUGUGCUAUUGAUAUCGUGGUCAGUUAAACCAUUAUUUAAAUCUAUGUUUUAGAUUGUUUUUCAUACUAGCAUGUUGUAUCACUCUUUGCUUAUUCCUUUGCUGUAGUAUCAACUUGAAAUAUGAGAAUAAUCUUUAAGCUCAAUCACAAUUCAAGAUUUAGCAGCAUUUUGAAGAAGAUGGUGUUUCAACAUUGCUCUAAAAGGAAAGUGAAAGUGAGGAUGAUGGUCUUGACAUGGGUGAUGAUGAUGAUGUUGAGGAACCUGAAAAUGAACCAGAGGCUGUUAGGAAAGAACCAACCAUUGAGAAACCUGCUCCUGUUUCAGCACCACCCAAAGAUGCUGAAAGGCAACUGUCAAAGAAGGAGCUUAAGAAAAAGGAAAUGGCAGAGCUGGAUGCACUUCUAUAUGAAAUGGGCAUUGCAAAUUUUAAUUAGUUUAUUUUUGAUAGAUAGUAAAUUUUAAUUCACUUGAGUUGCUUCAUACAUAUGAAGCGACUGUUUAAUGUGUGUUGAAUUUGUUUAUCCUUGUUAUGCAGACAAGAAGCAAUUGGAGCAAAGUAGUGAAGGGGAGAAGAAAGAAAGUGUUGGUGCUCCUUCAGAGAACAGAAUCUUAAAGAAGAAGAAAUCCAAGAAAGAAAAAUCAUCAAAGGAACAGGAGGAGCAUGAUCAGAAUCAGGAGAAAGGAGACAUUGAAGCUGAAGUGGCAGAUGCAUCUGCAGUUGAC